ensembl:lncRNA
CUGGAGAUCCCUUCUUUUGGAGAUUUUUAGUGAGCCUUGAGACAGUUGACACCAUGCAAGGAAGGACUCAGUGCCCCCAAAAUGCAGGCUGUGUAAUGAAAAUACAUCAUUAGGCAAGAAAAAAAGCUUCAAAGGAAGGAAAGUAUUAUUGCCUCAAGAAACUGCAACGUUAAAUAACUUGUAUAAAGCCAAGGGAAGAAAAACCGAAGGGUCAGGCCAGGUUUAUUACUGCAAAAUGAAGAAGUAAAUAAUGUUUUGAGUUGCAGUGAAGUUUCUAGCUCUCUGCUGCUGUACUGUCCGGAAGGCUGGGGCUUGGUGAUGGCUUUGCCCGCAGGAAAUAGUCUUUGGGAAAGGCCAUCAAGACAAUGUCAGCUCAGCUGGGGGGAAUGGCACAAAGCAGAGAAUGUUGCAGUGUAGUUUCAUGGCAAGAUGACUGAUCUCAGUAAAAAAUCGUAAUGGAGACACAGCACUGGCGUAAACUUCACCUUGCCAAAGCAAGGUGGGUUCUACCUCGUUUCUGCAAUGCAAAUCCCAUAGCUGCAUUAUGGUAGAAACUGCAGAACAGUGCCUCCACUGGGACUGACAGCAGAACUGGUGUCAUUCACCUGUAAGGAUUGGAUGUUUUUGGCAGCAAAGAUACAGGGAGGCUUUUCUGUCUCUUGAGGGGGCUCAGUGGUAGCGAUGGGUAUAAAUUAAUAGGUUAUGAGAGUCUGUUACAAAGCUGUCCAAUGUUAAUCUCAUUGGAUGUAUCUGUAUUUAGAAUUAAUUGUGUUUCUGCUGAUACAGGCUCACAUAGGAGCUGUGUUUGUGUACCUACUCAUUUGCAUGUUAAUGGGGUUCUCCAGGGUUUUUCCUUGAUCUUUAACAGUAGGAAAGACUGGCUAAUUGAAAUUUAUUUGAAAAGGGUUUAUUUGCCUCUUGGGCUAGGGACAAUAGAUUAUGACAGCUGAGGAACGCUGCAUGCUCGUGUUAGCAAGUUAGAUUUUAAUACCUGAGCAUGACAACACUGGAGGGAUGAAUUAAUAAAGGAGGUGAAUGGUUUACACUGAUCCUUCUCAUGCUGAUCUCCCUACACUGGUGCUGGUCCAUCCCGCUCUCGUGGUGAUGGCUUCCCAGCAGCUCAGUGGGAAGCCUUGAUUUCAGUGGAAUGAAGUGACCCACGUGUGAAGCUGUUUGUAGGACAGUUGUACCCUCCUAAGAGAUGAGUCAAGAAUGUAGAAAUGACAGUGUGCAACAAUCCGUCCCAAUUACCAUCACUGAUACCCCCCACAAAACUGGAGAUUUUAAUGUGGAUGUCUGACCUGUCCUUAAAUGCUGUGCGUUGGAUCCUGGAUGCUUUGUUCUAACACCUCUGACACUCCAAACUACUCAUUCCUCUGCUGCUGGGGCGUGACAUUUCUAUCUCAGCUCUUUGUGGAGUCCUGCUUACAGCCCCUCUCCAGAAAUGCUGGGAAGUGUUGCUGAAGCAUAACGGUUGCUGUAGCGGAUCAACGUGCUCCGAGAAUUGCCCUCAGGCUGGGAAUAUUCUGAUGGCUCAAUUCAUCAGCUGCCACCUCUGCCAGCACCAUCAGUCAAGCAACUGGAGCUGGAGGUCAGGAUUUCAGUGAGGAAAUAACAUUUUGGGUGAAUGAUGAUCACUGUUUGGGAGGGGGACGGGUUGUGUAUUUUUACUACUUAUCUUCUGUUGUUCACGUUUUCAGCCAGCUGCAGCAGAGCUGCUCUGAGCUGCACCUUCUGAGGUCCUUUGUUUUUAACACAAAUGUUCUGGUUUCUUCUGGUCCAGUCACCAAGAAACACCAUGGGCCUGCUUAAUGCUCCAGCAGUCUCUGUGUUAUAGAACCUGUGUGUGGUUUCAUGCUCUCAGUCCAUCUCUCUGAAAAUAUUUAGCUACUGAGUCUGAUGUUGAGGGGCUUGAUUAUGAAGAGCUCAUAGCAUGGCAGACAGCAGUUCCUGGUACAGAACUGAGUAUAAUCACAGCUGAAGCACAGCUGUCAAAAUGAAAUGAACAUCAAGUGCAGCUUGCCAGUGAGAUCCCAUGCAGGCACAAGGUUUAACUUCAGAAUUUAGUUAAUGAUAUGCUUUGUUAUGUUUAUUCCCAUUUAAAAGGAAGGAGAAAAACAAGAUUAAUAUUGCAGAGAAAAUAAUUCCCUUUGCCAUGGAGUUUCAAUUAAGUACAGGGGAAAGAAACAUGGGGUAAACUGAUUCUGCUUGCCUGAAGUAAUGGGUUGGAAGCUGAAAUGAGUCUUUCUUGUUUCAGUACAUUAUGAAUAAAUAGAGAAUUG